CCAUCAUUAACUGCAGAACAAAUUUCUCGAUAGUAAAUCAGAAUGUGACAGUGAAAAUGUAAAGUUGACAAGAAGACUGCUCGAGUUUUCUCAGAGCUAUCUUCUUGAAAAUGACAAAUAGAAACAAGAGCUUGGACUCGCUGUUGGAGAUGAGUGAGGACUUUCGUGUGCCCGAUCAACUGUUUGAGGACAGUGAUGUGAACUGUGAAGAAGAGCAGAUCAAAGUGCAUGAUGGGAAAAUGGGGAGUGAUAUUCAAGAAAUUGAAUUACCCAUGAUCCCAAAUCAUUUAGUAGAUGCUAAUUCAAUUUCGACAGAUGGCCUUGUAGAAGUCGAGGCGAAGAAGGAUGAUGGGAAAAUGGGAAACGAUAUUGAAGAAGUUGAUGUACAGACUCCUCAAAAUAAAUUAAAAGUUAAAAGUAAAAUUUCACCAAAUAGUCAGGAUGAUUCCACUCAAGUAAAAGAUUUUUCACAAAACAUGAAUGCUUCAUCAAAACUUUCCAAUAAGUCGUGUGACAGUGUUGUUGUCAUUGACUCUGUCGUGAACAAAGAAACCCAUACCUCCACUUCAUCCUCUGUUAAAAUGUCGAUCCCAUCAAAAAACCCAUCUGUCCAAACUCCCCUAAAAAUGGUCUCAAUACCGGUGGACUCAAAUAUAAUCACGCAAAACAAUAGUCAAGUGGUGUUGAUUCCCGUGGGUGGAAUGGAUUCAGAAACUUUACAGACUUCGUUAAAAGUGCCACCUGGACAAAAAAUUGUGAUAAUCAAACCGCAGGAAAUAUUGAAAACAAUCGAACAGAAAAAGUCACAAAAGUCCGAGAAACAAAACUUAAUUGUUGACAAUCACAAGGUGAUACUGCAAACGAUCAAACCAAAUGUAUCAGCAAAUCAAAAUAUUGUACGUGCACAAUUGCCUCGUGUUUUAUCGAAGACGGCUGUUGUUCCUUCUUCAAUGGUUAGUCAAUCAAAGCGGGUAGGUCAAAUUUCUGGCCAAACUGUACAGCUUCUACCUCUACAGCCCCGCGUACCUUCCUGUAAAAAAGGAAGCUUAGCUCGUCCCUCUUUAAAACCGACUGUUCAACGUUUUCGCUUCCGCAAUCUUCAAACACCAGGGCAGCGAUUGCUGUUACGCGAACUUCUGAUAAACCUGUUCAAACAGGCUUUGUCGUCUCGCAAUCCGGAUCAGCAGCGUCUCAAACCGGUUUGUUUAUACCUAAGGUCAAUUUAACUACCGUUAACGCAAAUGUUCAGCCUGAAAAUAACAUAAAUCUACCCAUUGUUUUAACUAAAGAAAAGGAUAGUUGUACUUCGAAUGAUCGACAAAAUGAACUCUCAAAAUUUCCCGCUAAAGCAGAACAAACGUCAGAUUCCAAUGUGGCAAUUGAUAACCCUACAGGGGCGCACAUUCAGAAGCCAGCGGUAAAUCCUGCUACAAAAGUUCUCAAUGUUUCGAGUACAUCGAAGCGUCAAAGUAAUAGAGCUCCAUUAACUGCGCAAAGCUCUUAUAGUGAGCCGAAUGCUGUACCGAAUUUAGUUUCAAAUGUGUCAUCGUCUUUUAAGAAAGUUGAGAAUUUACUGAAGCCAUGUUUAUCUAAUGAGGUUACGUGGCCUUCGAUUAAAAAACCUGAAAAAACUUUAGAAAAAGUUGUUGUUCAACCUCAUGGCAAACCGAGAUUGUUGCAAAAUAACGAUGGUAAUGAACCAAAAAGUAAUCUAUUUCAAAAUGAAACAAACACAUCUCAGACAUCAUCGACAAACGAACUUAUCAAUGCUUCCGAACGAGGCAAAUCGUCAGCUAAAACUGGACAAGUAGUGAAAAAAGUAAAAAAUAAAGAGGUUUCAAGUACCAACCCGUGGACUUGUGCUUUGUGUGGAAAACCGUCCUUUGUCAACAACCUCGGUUGUCUUUAUGGACCAUAUGAGAUUAAUGAUCCAUCGGGGAUCACAUGGGAUAUCAGGAGGAAAACGUUUGCGAGGACAGUGAGCCCAUAUCAAAAAAACGACGAUCGUCUACGAGUGAGAAAGAUUCUCCUUGUGAAGUAUGGUUUCAUGGUUACUGUGUUGUUUGGUCGCCGGGGUUCUAUACCGUAGAUAAUACUUUAGUGGGAUGUGAACAAGUUGUUAUUGAUGCCAGAACAAGGUUUUGUAGCGUCUGCGGUGAAAAUGGCGCUACGUUGAUAUGUUUACAACGUACGUGCCGGAAACUGUUUCAUUUUUACUGCGCCAAGGAAUAUGGAUGUGUGUUUGAUGAAUCAAAUUAUACAAUUCAAUGUGGAAAACACGUCAAGUAAAACGAUGAAAGAGUAAUGUCAAUAGAUGGCUUAUUCAGAUCACGUGAUAACUGACAUAAUGCGCAUGGCGUACAGAAGCAGCUUAUCAAGGCGUCGCUGCAAACUGAACCCUGGAACAUAAUGGAUUGUCGGGAAUUUCAAUGGAUUCAAGUAGGAUACUGCAUGUAUUUAUGUAGUCGGACAAAUUACCUGUAUGUCAUGUUGUAUGCGAUAUUUGGUCCUAAGGGAUGAUCCCCCGAAGCAUCCAGCACAGCAACAUUCGUUCAUUUUACGACUGAGUUUGCAUGCCAAUAUUGGCGAGCAGAACAUACCCAAGAGACCUGACCAAUAAAGAUAAAAAUUUGUUGAA